GCCCUUCAAUGCUCUUUGCAUUACACACGGGGUACUUGGGACUGUUAAUGGGCUUAAUUACACGUACAGUCCCUUCUGUUAGUCUAAUAUCCCAUGUCCUCCAACUCCCUUUGCGUACAGCAGAGGGUACUUGGGAUUGUAAUUGUGCUUAAUUGCAUCUGUGGUCCUUUCUGUUAGUCUGGGGUCCCAUGCCCUCCAAUUCUCUUUGUAUUACACACGGUAUACUUGGACUGUUAAUGGGCUUAAUUGGCAGCUACAGUCCCUUCUUUUUGUCUAGGAUUCCAUCCCCUCCAACUCUUUUUGCAUUACACAGGGGGUAUUUGGGACUGUUAAAGUCCUUAAUUGCAGCUGUGAUCCCUUCUGUUACUCUAGGAUCCUAUUCACUCCCUCUACAUUACUUGGGAGGGUUUUGGGGACUCUUAAAGAGCUCAAUUGCAGCUCUGGUCCCUUGUGUUACUCUGGGAUCCCAUGUUCUCCAACUCUUUUCACAUUACCACAGAUGGUACUUGCGACUAUUAAUGGGCUUAAUUGCAGCUGUGGUCCUUUCUGAUGGUCUGGGAUCCCACACUCUCUAACUCCCUUUGUAUUACAGCAGGGGGUACCUAGGAUUGUUAUGGGCUAGAUUGCAGCUGUUGUCCCUUUUUAGUUUAGGAUUCUUCACCGUCCUACUCCCUUUGCAUUACAGUAGAGGGUAUUGGAACUGUUAAAUGCUCAAUUGCAGCUGUUGUCCCUUCUGUGUGUCUAGUUUCCUAUGACCUCCUACUACCUUUACAUUACCUGGGAGUGUAUUUGGGACUGCUAAAGUGCUUAACUGCAGUAUGGUCCCUUCUGUUAAUCUAGUUUCCCAUCCCCUCCUAUUUGCGUUAUAGCAGAGGAUACUUGGGACUGUUAAGGUGCUUUAUUGCACCUGUGGUCCCUUCUGUUGGUCCAGGAUCCCAUCCCCUCCUACUCUCUUUGCAUUACUAUAGGGGGUACUUGUGACUGUUAAUGUGCAUCUCAUCCUGUCACACCCUGUUAGUGUUACAGCAGAGGGUGCUGAACCCCAAGGCUCUUCUUUUGCACUGUUAAUGUGCGUAAUUGCAUUUGUCCCUCUUCCUCUGCAGUAAAGACCUCACUCAUUUCCCUUGUAUUCAUCAGCGGAUGCCCUUUCCUUAAGACCUUUGUACUAGGAUAGUUAAAAUGAACCAUGAUAAUUGACUAAAACUAUGUCUUUCAUUUAAGUCCCCUGUACUCUCUGUUUUACAAGAAGGUGUAUUAAUUACCUCAGUUACUUUUUUCUGGGGCUAUUUAUGUGCAAAAUUCCAAUGUUCAUGGGCCCUCCCUUUAAACUAAUAUCCCACCCUAUUACAUUACAGUGGGGGAUGCUAGGGACCCAAAGUCCUUCUCUUGGGACUCUUAAGGUGCCUGUGCCCUCCUGGUAAGCUAAUAUCCUGACUUCUUAGUAUUAUAGCAGGGGUACCGACCACCUCAAGCCUUUCUUUUGGACAGUUAAUGUGCAAAAUUGCACUAGGAUUCCAUCCCUGUCAAACCUCCUUUGCAUCAGGGGUGCUGACCAACUAUGGCUGCUUCUCCUGUACAGUUAAAAAUAUGCAUAAUUACAGUAAUCCCUGCUCCCUUAUAUUAGAAUAGGAUCCCAUUUCCUUGCCCCAUUUACAUUACUGCAGGAGCUUCUGACUAGCCAAGAUUCAUUUUCUUGGACUGUUAAUGUGCAUACUUAAUUUGCUUCUCUACUUGUACAUCAGGUAAGGACCCUCCUCAUUCUAUUUAUAUUCCAGCAGGAGGUGCCUACUACUCAAGACCUUACACACUACUGCAGUUAAUGUGAACAAUCUUAGUUGUUUUGUACACAGUCUCAGUUGUCCACAACUGUGCCUUUUAGAUCAGGACACCUGCACUUAUCGAAGCAGAGGUUACUGACUACCUUAAAACCCUGCUCUUGGGAAUGUGGAUAUGUGUGAUUACAGUCAUGCAUGGUCCUUUGAGUUAACUGGGGUCCUUGACUCUUUUCACACCCUCUUUGCUUUACUGCAUGAGGUACUGUCCACUUCAGGCCCCUUUCUCAAACUGUUAAUGUGCAUAAUGACAAUUACAUUAGGAUCCUUCCCCUUCACACUCCUUUGAAGUACCACAGGAAUUCUGACCUAAGGUCCAAUUUCUUCGCCUGUUAAUAUUCAUGAUUAUAUUUAUCUGGGUUCCUGUGCACUAGACAAGGACACCUCCUCUCCCCACUUUCUUUUUCUUCCAGCAGGGAGUGCCCCCUCCACAAGACCAUUACACUUGGACAGUCAAGGUGCACAAUUGUAAUUGACCACAACCAUGCACCUUAGACAUUAAUGAGCGUAAUUGCACAUGGCUCAUCCUAUUUGAAUAAGAUCCUACCCUCUCAGACCCCUUUUGCAGUUUAGCAAGGGUGCUGACCCCUAAGGCCUUUUUUCUUGGCCUGUUAAUGUAUGUUUGAUUAUAUUUGUCUGAAUUCCUGUACACUAGACAAGUGCACCCCACUGCUAUCUUCCUUUCCCUUCCAGCAGGGAAUGCCUCCUCCUUAAGACCGUUACAUUUCGACAGUCAAGGUGCACAAUUGUAAUUGACCACAACCAUGCACCUUAGAUGUUAAUGUGCAUAACUGCACAUGGCUCAUCCCAUUUGAAUAAGAUCCUACCCUUUCAGACCCCUUUUGUAGUACAGCAGGGACACUGAUCACUAAGGCCUCUUUUAAUGGCUUGUUAUUGUGCAUAAUUGCAUUUGUACACAUUCCUGUACGCUAGAUAAGGACACCCCUCUCCCCAUUCCCUUUGCCUUUUAGCAGGGAGUGCACAAUACUUUAAGAUCCUUAUAUUUGUACAAGGUACACGGUUUUAAUUGAUUACACCAUGUCUCUUGGGCAUUAAUGUAUAUAAUUGCAAUUUAGUUCAACCUACUCUGUUGCCCUUCAUUUGCAUUAUACCAGGGUUGUUGACCCCUAAAUCCCCCUCUCUUGAUCUGUUAAUGCGCAUAAUUGCAUUUGUCCAGGUUCUUGUGCACUGGACAAGGACACGUCCCCCCACUUCCUAUGCCUUCCAGUAGGUGGUGCCCACUGCUAAGACCUUUACAUUUGAACAGUUAAUGUGCAGAAUUGUGGUUUUCUACAACUCUAUCACUUCCAGGACUAUUGUACCUCCUUUGUACUACUGCAGGGGAUACUGUUUUCCCCCAAGGCCCCUUCUAGUGGACAGCUUAUAUACAUCAUUGAAACUGUCUGUUGUCUUCAUCAGUAGGCUAAGAUCAUACCCCAUCAGCUUCCCUUUGCAGUACAGCAGAGUGUGCUGAUUAACCAAGGCCCUCUUCUUUUGGACUGUUAAUAUGUACAAUUGCAUUUUCUCCUGUUCUUUGCACUAGGUAAGGACCCCACCUACUUCCUUAGCAUUUUCAGCAGGCAGUGCCCACUACUUAAUGACUCUUUCACUUGGAAAGUUCAUGUGCACAAAUGCAGUUUUCUAAGCAUGUCUUAUACCAGAAUCCCUGUACCCUCUUUGCUUUAGAGCAAGGAGAUGCUAUUCACCUAAGGCCCUUUCUUUUGGACUUUAAUGUGCAUAAUUGCAGUUAUCUAUCUCUUCUGUUGGACUAAGAUUGCAUCCUUUCAUACCCCCUUUGCAUCAGGGUCAUGUUAACCAUCAAUGAGCUCUUCUCUUGAGGUUAUUAAUGUCCAUAAUUGUAUUUGUCUGUGGACCUGUGCAGUAGGAAAGGAUGCUCUAUGCCCCUAGCACUGCCUUUGGACUGCUGCUGAGGAGUGCUGACUAUCAUGACCUCAGCUCUUGGAUGCUUGAUGCACCAAUAACAAUUAUCAGAAGUACUGAUCAUUAGAUAUGACCCCUGUACCCUCUUUGUAUACAUCAAGGGUACUGACUAAGGCCCAUUUCUUAGACUGUUAAUGUGAACUUUUGCACUUAUCUAUACCCCCUUCUGUUAGAGUAGGAGACCAUACCCUUACACCCCCUUUACAUUAAUGCAGGGGCUGCUGACCACACAAAACUUUUGGGACUGUUAAUGGGCACGUGGCAAUAAGCACUGGAAUUUUCCUUCCUGGCCUUGUUAGACAAGCACUCCCAGCCCCAAUUUCCCAUGGCAUAAUAAAGUAUAAACAUUGCAGUAUGCCAUGAACUUGUCCAUCAAACAGCGACCUAUACUCCCACUCCUUUUGCAUUGCACCAGUGUAUAAAAUUCCGAGUAAUCAUGGUCUUACCCUUAUCUUCCCUUGCCCCACCCCUUGCCUGCCCUUGGACCCUUCUUAUGAACUAUUAAUGCUCACAAUUUCAGCUGUCCAUGUAUCCAGCCAUUAGAUAAGACUGUACUCCCUCGCCCCUUCCAUCCCACCCUGCCCUUUUUGCAUUGUUGCUGGGGAAUGUUGACUGGGCUAGGCCCUUUCUCUUGAAUUUAAAACGUUAACAACCCCAGAUCUCAUUGGUUUACCCACUUUGUAUUGCUGUAAUGCCUCAGUUGCACUUUCCUUGGUCCCGCCCAUAAGACAUGGACCCCUCUACUUCCUUCUUUGCAUUGCUUCUGAGUAGUGCUGACUUCCCAAAGCCCCUUCUGUGUUAUUAAUGAACACAGUACUCAUUGUCCCAUUUUUUAGCCCAUCAGCCCAAGAUCUCCCUACCACUUUGAUGUUGUGUGUUUGUGCAGUGUUGACUACCAAAAGCAGGCUUGAACUAGGUGGAUGGGCCUUCACUCCUUUUCCUGCAUUUGUUAAUGAUCCCAGUUCCAAUUAUUGUCACAUUCUGGGGACAGGAGCCAUCUCUGCCCAGCUCUGUUACUGCUUUACUGGGCAAAAUGCUCAAGGCAAGUCAGGCCCAAGGAGCUGGAUUGCCACCCCUUUAUUUUGGAUUUUCUAUAUAUAUAAGUAUCAGUUGAAAAUUGUCUCCCCAGGAAGGAAGGUUAACACUCUCUCUGCAUUCUUCCUUCCAGAGCAGAUUGCCUGGCUAAGAAUCUCUCCUCUUGUAUAUUGCUAUUGUACAGUGUCAAUUGCCAGGAUGCAGCCAAAAAUUUGCUGUUAAUUUUUUAUUUUUUAAGAAAGACAUCUGGCUUACAAGGUGGAAUUGAUAACCUGGUCAUUAAAUUUUUGACGUCUAAAAACCCAUUUAUACCAUGUACCUGAUGACCAGUGUCUCUCAUUUUACUAAGGGUGGUGGGUGUGUGGAUGGACCACUGUGACUCUUGCUAUUUUGGUAUUACCAAAGGAGUUUUAGAGUAGAGCUCUUAAGACCAGUAUCUUUGGGCUCUACCACCAUUUUAAAACCAUUUCUUGUUCGGGCUUUACCACCACUCGCUUUUAGAAAAACUACCUAAACUUUCUAAUCCUUAAAUUUCUUCAUCUGGAGCACCAACCAUCCCCUACUUAUUUCAAGAAGAUUGCUGUAAAAGGAUGAAAUGAGAGAACAUAUGCUGAGGUGCUUUUGAAAACCAUAGAUCACCUUAUUUGAUUAAUCUAUUAUAUAAAAUGCACCUUGCUUAAUUCUGCUAAUUUAAAGUAGCCUGAAGCACCACACUGAAGUGAGGACUUAGAAUGAUGGGACCAGUUUCCCUGUUUUAUAUUAAAAGAAAAAUAAGACAAGAUCUAAUUAUUCUUCUGGACACAAAUUUCAACAGUGAGAUAGCUGCCUGGUAAAACUGAAUAAUAUCCCAGCUUCUAGUGUACAGGGUGUUUCGUGGCAGAGAACUAUUUAAUAUGGAACUGCUGAAGCAAAUAACUAGUCAUCACAACAGCAGUUCUUUGUAAUCACUGAAAAAGGAUGCUAUUCCUCUGAGAAGGAUGUCAAAAGAUCGGCCCAGCUCAGGGUACAGUUUGUACUUCUAGCUCCUUGGACAGCUGUAAGAAGAGUCUCUGGCUCUUUAGAAUACUGGAUGAAUUCUCAGCCGGUUCUAUACUCCCACUCAAGAGGAAGGAUGGAUCAAUUUUAGGUGGAUUGAAGCCUGCACUAGACAGCAUCCAAAGGACAUUUGAGCACGUGAGACCUGAGGACUGCAGGCAGCUCUAAGAAGCUCUACAUUGAUCAGAUCUUUCCUUUUGAGAAUCUGGAUAAGCUCCAACUAGUCAAAGAGGAUGGCUUGCAGGCCACCUGGAGAAAAAGAUCUUCCUCAGAAGAAUAGGCUUGUUGCUUUACGGUGUUAGUGACCCAUUCCCCUUGACGAUCCCUAGGUGGAGAUGGGGCGUGAGGAUCCUCCAGGGGAAAAGCUCACUACCACUGGGCAACAACCCUAGGCCAGGAGGUUCCAUCAAGAUUCUUUCCUGGGCCCAGGUAGGAAGAUGAAGUCUCAAGACAACUACCACACAUCAGAGGAGAAUGUGGACAACAACUGCCACAUCUGUGACUUUGAUCAUGGGCAAAUCAUCAUUCUGGACCUUCUCAUCCCCAAAAUCUCCCUUGAGGCCCUGUUGGAGAACUUUGCUAGUCAUUUACGUACUUCAAGAUGCCUUGAGAUAUCUGUGGGAUGAAAUACAAAACAAGCUCUUUGAUAAGAUAAAUAAUUAUAUCUUUUUAUGCCAUGCUUGCUGAUUGAUGGAAGGCUCACAACUACAAAUGGGAACCUGACCAGAAAUGGCACAAAAUUAUCUAUUGUCAGGGAGGAUCUAAAGAACCACAACCCUGCAUACUCUAGCUCCUGAUUGUUCCCUUCAUAUCUGCCAAAUCAUUGUCCUUCCCAAAAGCAGUACAGGGAACAAGAAAUCUGAACACACCAAAAGAAGAUCAACAUGCCUGGCACCCUAGCAUUUAAAAAUAGCAGAAUGAAUGUGUAUUUCUUUGCUUGUCUAUUUCUUCCUUGAAUGUCUUUGCUCUUUCUUCUCUAUCUAAAGGGUGUCUUACCUAUUUCCAUGAUUCUCUUGCUAGUUUCUUCUCUGUGUAUCUUUGUCUCAGUGUCUUUUUUCUUCCUAAGAGUGGUCUGUGCCUUGUCUUAGAUGUGUCUCUCUUUUCAUUUUGUUACUGAUUCUCUUUGCUCUCCUAGAUCUGGCUCUUUUUUCACUGUUCUUCCCUUUGUGUCUCUGAGUCACAUACUGUGUGCUUUUUGCUCACAUCUUAUUCUGUCUCUCUCUCUUCUUUUUCUCUUUGUGAAUUCUGAUUGUUUGUCACCUCCUCCCUUUCUUGUUGGUUUGACAUUUUAUGUUUGUCUGAUUCUGGCCUUCCUUCUGCUGUUUCUACUCCUUAUCUCACAUUUCUCUUCUCUACAUAUCCUUUCUGCCUCUCUUGGGCCGUUUUCUCUUUUUUUCCUGCUUUGUGUGCCUCAGUGUCUCUUUGCUCUUUGUGAUUUUCCAUUUGAGCAUUCAUCUCUCCGUUUUUCGUUUCUUCUCUGCUUUUUCCCUUCUACUCACCUUUGAGUAUUUCAGCCUCCUCAUGAGUCUGUGUCUGCCCCUCUUUGAUUUCAUGCAGUCCUCUCUCCUUGCAUAUUUAUUGUGCAUGUGUAUGUUUGUGCUCAUGUGUGUGUGUUUGUUUGUGCUUGUGACAAAGGGGCUUCCUAACCCCUUCCCAGUAGAUGCAGAGUGUCAGCUAUCAAAAUAAACAUUGCAGAGCUGUUCCUUAUGCCAGGCUUCCCUGUGAGAUGAUCCAAGACCAGUAGAAGGCCAAGAGUCAAAACUGAAGUAAAACCCAAGACCUAAGAUGGACAGAAGGUGGAAGGUCCAUAAUGGAUAGAAGGCCCAAAGUAGAAGACAGAUGGUUUGAGACUUGAGUCCUGAAGACUAAAAUGGAAUACCCAUGUCCCAGGAUAGAUGGAAUCCUCAGGCCUGAGACCAUCAGAAGCCGUGAGAGCCACAAUGUACAGAAGGUGGCCCUUAUUGUAUAGAAGACCUGACUCAGUUGGAUGGGAGGCUCAAGUCUUGUAUUAGACAGAAGGCCGAAGACCCAGGAUAUGGGAGACUGAAGGCCGAAGAGCAGAGAUCCAUGGAAGGCCUGAGACCUAAGACACAAGGCCUAAGACCUAAGAUAAAAAGCCUUAGCUUAGACACCUAAGACCCAGGGUUGGAAGGCCUCAGACACAUGUAAAGACCUAGGACUCAAGCCUCUCUAGAUGGACAGAAGGCCCAAGAGAGACAUAUAUAUCUGAAGACUAAAUUAGGCAGGAAGCUGGAGGCCCAUGACCUAAAAUCCAGGAAGAAUAGAAGCCCCAAGACCAGAGGAAAUUCAAAGAGGAGAACCCUAAACCUCAGCUCUUUUCUAUUGCUAUUCUCCCUACUCUUGGACAUUUUCAGUUCUCCCUUUCCAGUUCUCAUAUCUCCAUUUAAUCGCACUUCUUUUGAGAUAUCUUUUUUGAUGUUGCUAUUACUUUAAGGAAACAUAUCUUUAGAUCAGCAGUAUUAUGCCUGGGCCGGUCUUAAGCCAGUUUUUAUCAGUUUUGAGCUAUAUAGCAAGUUUUUGGUAUUUUUUUUAAACUUACAUUUCUCUUCAUCUCCACUCUACAUGAAAAGAGACAUAUAUAGAUGACAUUGUAUUUCAGUCCUCCCUUUUCCUCAGAAGCUCUAGGCUGAUGAGAAGAGGAAAGCAUCAGGCUGUUGGGGAAAAUAUAGUGCCAGGCUAUCUAGAGAAAAUGUGAAGAGAUGCUCCUGGCCAAUGAGAAGAAUUAGACAAGAAAUAUGAGAAAUGCCAGCCUGCUAAGAAGCACCAACCAGCAGCACCUUACUUCUUUGAGCUUGGUUUCUGGCAUCGUUAAGACUACCACUACUGGUAAAACAAGAAUAAGAGAACAUUCCAUCAUCAUCUGAUUUUUGUGGCAUAAAUGAAGUUGUGAACCAAUCCGUUUUUAAAGGAAAUGGCUUUGUCUCUACCCUUCAACCUCAAAGGGAACCUAUUCCAAAAUGCUCCGAUAAAUAGAAGACACACUUUGACUUGUGAACUGAUGUGAAAUGCAGAAUCUUUGCGCCUUGAAUGUUUUGAAGAUUGAAAAAUCUUGCUCAGCAUGAGUGAACACCCAAAAGCAGCUGAGAUGAAUUGGGGAGUAUGUUGUCUGAUGUCAAAUAAAAUGUACUGUUUUGAAAACUUUGUAUUUUGA